UACGUAGGGUGCAAGCGUUAAUCGGAAUUACUGGGCGUAAAGCGUGCGCAGGCGGUUUUGUAAGCCAGAUGUGAAAGCCCCGGGCUCAACCUGGGAAUGGCAUUUGGGACUGCAAGGCUUGAGUGCGGCAGAGGGGGAUGGAAUUCCGCGUGUAGCAGUGAAAUGCGUAGAUAUGCGGAGGAACACCGAUGGCGAAGGCAAUCCCCUGGGCCUGCACUGACGCUCAUGCACGAAAGCGUGGGGAGCAAACAGG
rnacentral:rRNA from 1 species